rnacentral:rRNA from 1 species
CCCCCCCCCCGUUAACCUAACACCAGAGCAUUCCAGGAAAGAUUAACAGAGAAGGAAGGAACUCGGCAAAUCUCUACCCCGCCUGUUUACCAAAAACAUCGCCUCUUGACCCCAUAAGAGGUCCAGCCUGCCCAGUGACAAAAUUCAACGGCCGCGGUAUCCUAACCGUGCAAAGGUAGCACAAUCACUUGUUCUUUAAAUAAGGACUCGUAUCAACGGCACCACGAGGGUUGCACUGUCUCCCCCCUCUAAUCAGUGAAACUGAUCUCCCCGUGAAGAAGCGGGGAUUCACCCAUAAGACGAGAAGACCCCAUGGAGCUUAAAACUAACAGCAACUCAAUUACACACCACCCACAACCUAUAGAGCCAUGCAUGCCAGUUUUCGGUUGGGGCGACCGCGGAGCAAAAAUUAGCCUCCACAACGAAAAAGAACUAAAUCUUUAUCCUAGAGCCACUCCUCCAAGAAUUAGUACACUAACGAUUAAUGACCCGACUAUCGAUCAACGAACCAAGUUACCCUGGGGAUAACAGCGCAAUCUACUUCAAGAGCCCCUAUCGACAAGUAGGCUUACGACCUCGAUGUUGGAUCAGGGUACCCCAGAGGCGCAGCCG